ACUCCUACGGGAGGCAGCAGUGGGGAAUAUUGCACAAUGGGGGAAACCCUGAUGCAGCCAUGCCGCGUGUGUGAAGAAGGCCUUCGGGUUGUAAAGCACUUUCAGUAGGGAGGAAGGUAGUGUAGUUAACACCUGCAUUAUUUGACGUUACCUACAGAAGAAGCACCGGCUAACUCCGUGCCAGCAGCCGCGGUAAUACGGAGGGUGCGAGCGUUAAUCGGAAUUACUGGGCGUAAAGCGCAUGCAGGCGGCCUGUUAAGUCAGAUGUGAAAGCCCGGGGCUUAACCUCGGAAUUGCAUUUGAAACUGGCAGGCUAGAGUCUUGUAGAGGGGGUAGAAUUUCAGGUGUAGCGGUGAAAUGCGUAGAGAUCUGAAGGAAUACCAGUGGCGAAGGCGGCCCCUGGACAAAGACUGACGCUCAGAUGCGAAAGCGUGGGAGCAAACAGGAUUAGAUACCCCUGGUAGCGACUGA
rnacentral:rRNA from 1 species